CCAAACUAUAAAUGAUCAUUUGGUCUACAACACAGCUGAAAUGGUUUCCUUGCCUUUCAAGCAUAAGCUGAUGUCAAAGGAACAUUUGGAGCCACCUGAACUAUUAAAUUGAAACAGUCAGCAUGCCACCCAAGUCUACCGUGUUCUUUUGAGGAUGAUGGUAUAUGAUUUCUGCUUCCUCAUUUCCAUUUUGGUAGCUAGAGGGAUUGAGGAGACUGAAGGAGGCUGAGGACCUCAGAUGGGCUCAGUGGGUAGGCUCCACUGUCUGACCAUGACGGCCGCCGAAAAUCCCACGCCUGGAGACCUGGCUCUGGCACCCCUCGUCACUUGCAAACUCUGCCUGUGUGAACAGUCUCUGGACAAGAUGACCACGCUCCAGGAAUGCCAAUGCAUCUUUUGC